rnacentral:lncRNA from 1 species
UCAUUUAUAACAAUAUAAUAAAAUAAUAAACUUUUGAUUUCAAAGUACAAAGAGGACAAAAUGAUGAAGCUUUUCAUUUUAAUCGCUUGCAAUAAAAAAUGAUAUUUCUCCAUCAGAUGUAAAGUUGAUAAAAAAUAAAGAGGACAAAAGAAGAAAAUAAACUUGGGAGACAAAUAAUUAAAGUGAUAUGCUUCUGUGAUUCUUCAUUCAAUGAUCAGUUUAAUCCAAAAGUCCAUCCCAAUAUUGAAAAUAGUCAACGUACAUCCUGCAAUUUAAAUACAAACUUUCAUAAACCAACCUAACACAAAAUAAGCUAAUCAUACCUCAGAACCUAAUGGAUUUUUAACAUUCAAAGUCACAAAAGACCAAAUUUGUUGAAAAUGUGUUUUUUCAAGAUAUCAAAUAAAGGUUGAUUUAAUGCAUCUUUGUCCAUUUCAAUAAAAAAACCCACAAAAACCUCAAAAGAGAAAUACAUGAACCAGUUGUUCAUUAUGACAAACCAAGAUAACAUGAAAGAAGCUUUGAAUAGACAACUCUAACUCCUUACUGAAUAACAGGAUGCAUCUAUUUUAAAUUACCUCAAAAAGAGAAUGCAUCCAUAACUUCAACAUAUUUCUUUGUCUGAACAUGGCUUGGGAUACGUAGGGAUUCCUUAUACGGAGCUGAUCAAGAGCACGUUAUUUCAAAAAUACUUUACUAAGCAUGGAUAUGUUUAAAGGAUAAACUUGCAAAAAAAAUAUCAAAUUGACAACAAAAGCAACAAAGCUGGGAACCAACAUUGUACAAAAAGACAUAGAUAACUCACUCAAACCUAAAAGGUUCCUAUUAGAAAACAAAAAACAAACCUGGAAACCAACAUCGAACAAAGCCCCUGGUUUCUUUUCUACAAUGAAAAAUCAUCAACACCCACACAUCCAACAUAAAAACAUAUAAAAAGACACGGAAAACUCAAAAUGAACAUCAGGAUAACCCGGAACAAACAAAUUAAAGACACAAACUAUGCCAUCUUUGCAUUAUGUAUUCUAUUUUAUAGCCUUUGCAUUACUUGGUGAUUAUCAUCAAAAUGAUCACAACUACGCCAUCUUUGUUGUGAAGAUAACGAAAGUGAACAAUAAAAUCUUACUAACUUACUAUUUAGAACAUAAUCAGGCUUCAUUUGUUGGAAAGAAAGACCAGGUAAUGGCUGAGAAAAAAAGACAAUCUUUAAGACAUUUGACAAAAAAAAAAUCAAAAUUAACAAAAUUCAUUAUCAACAUAAACAUAAUCUUUAAGAGAUUAGACAAAGAAAAGAAUGAACUAACCCAAAGAGCUUGAUAUGGUUGGAAUUGGGUCUAUUAAUGUUGGGAUUGGUUACUUUGAGAUUAGAAGGAUGGAAUAUUGGAAUUGUCAUCCCCAUGCUUGUUGAAUCGUUUGCAUAUGGAUCAUCCACAAUAUGCUAAGGGCACCUUCACAUCAACCAUUAUUUUCCAUGGAUUUUUACUGUUCCUUUCCUAUCUAUUUACUUCAUCAUUAACCUGUAAAUGGGAGGAAUGGAAAUUGGACACUGGGGUAAAUUUACAGACUUAACGCACCAUGGUAGAAAAGCAAGGUAGAUCCAUCAUACAUCACUUCUUUUUUCCCUGGUUAAGUUUAAGAUGAACAAAUCAGAAAUUGGUGUUUAAAAGGUUGUUAAUAGCCUCAUCUGCAUGCUUUUCUACAUAAUAUAACCUCCAACAAACUAAACCCAUAAAUUAACCAACCCAAAUUGAAGAAUUUAGCAAAAGUCAUGGAUUUGAAUAUUAUUAGGAACGUGUGAUUAGAGUUGAAUGUGUACCUAUUAUCGAGGGUUUAUACUCCCAAAAGAUCGUUGUGGUUUGCUAAGAAUCGAACGAAAAGGUUGACUUCCAGGGCCGCGGCAUUGACCAGAGGGUGGUUGAUCGUGGCAGCGGGAUAGGGUUAGGGUUACUCGUCUUGAUAGAAGGUAGAAGUGGCAGACACCGGUGACGGAAAAGGUGGACUUCCAGGGCAUCGAUUCUGUCUUUGGUGGAGACAGGUGGUGGUACGCUGCUCGUGUGUGAUGUUGCCGGGAGUCAGGGAAGAACACGUUACGUCGUGAGGGUGAAGAGAUAAAGAGAGAAAGAUGAGAUUUGGUUUGAUGGCGGUUGUCGUGUGCGAGAUUAGGGUAAUA